rnacentral:tRNA from 1 species
GGCCCUAUCGUCUAGUGGUCUAGGACGCCGCCCUUUCACGGCGGAAACACGGGUUCGAGUCCCGUUGGGGCUGCCA